rnacentral:sRNA from 1 species
UGAAUGCAUCAUACGGAGUCGUAAAAG